rnacentral:rRNA from 1 species
CCUACGGGAGGCAGCAGUGAGGAAUAUUGAUCAAUGGCCGGAAGGCUGAACCAGCCAUGCCGCGUGAAGGUCAGUGCCCUAUGGGCGUUAAACCUCUUUUGUGCGGGAGCAAUAAUGGUCACGUGUGGCCAGACGAGCGUACCUUACGAAUAAGCAUCGGCUAACUCCGUUCCAGCAGCCGCGGUAAUACGGGGGAUGCAAGCGUUAUCCGGAUUUAUUGGGUUUAAAGGGUGCGUAGGCUGGGAGGUAAGUCAGCUGUUAAAUGCCCCCGCUCAACGGGGUGAAGUGCCAUUGAUACUGCCUUGCUGGAAUGCGGAUGCCGUGGGAGGAAUGUGUGGUGUAGCGGUGAAAUGCAUAGAUAUCACACAGAACACCGAUUGCGAAGGCAUCUCACGAAUCCGCGAUUGACGCUGAUGCACGAAAGCGUGGGUAUCAAACAGGAUUAGAUACCCUAGUAGUC